rnacentral:rRNA from 1 species
AGAGUUGAUCUGGCUCAGAACGAACGCUGGCGGCGCGUCUUAAGCAUGCAAGUCGAACGGCAAGAGGUAGCAAUACCUCCUAGAGUGGCGGACUGGUGAGUAACACGUGGGUGACAUACCCUUCAGAUGGGGAUAGCUAUUAGAAAUAGUAGAUAAUACCGAAUACGAGCACAGGGGUUAGAGAUCUGUGAGGAAAGGAGCUAAGGCUCCGCUGAAGGAAUGGCCUGCGGCCCAUUAGCUAGUUGGUGAGGUAAGAGCCCACCAAGGCGAUGAUGGGUAUCCGGCCUUAGAGGGUGAACGGACACAUUGGGACUGAGAUACGGCCCAGACUCCUACGGGAGGCAGCAGCUAAGAAUAUUCCGCAAUGGACGAAAGUCUGACGGAGCGACGCCGCGUGGAUGAAGAAGGCCGGAAGGUUGUAAAAUCCUUUUGAAACUGAAGAAUAAGCGUUGUAGGGAAUGAUAGCGUGGUGACAGUAGGUUUUGAAUAAGCAACGGCUAAUUACGUGCCAGCCGCCGC